rnacentral:rRNA from 1 species
AGUGAACGCUGGCGGUAGGCCUAACACAUGCAAGUCGAACGGCAGCACAGUAAGAGCUUGCUCUUACGGGUGGCGAGUGGCGGACGGGUGAGGAAUACAUCGGAAUCUACUUUUUCGUGGGGGAUAACGUAGGGAAACUUACGCUAAUACCGCAUACGACCUACGGGUGAAAGCAGGGGAUCUUCGGACCUUGCGCGAUUGAAUGAGCCGAUGUCGGAUUAGCUAGUUGGCGGGGUAAAGGCCCACCAAGGCGACGAUCCGUAGCUGGUCUGAGAGGAUGAUCAGCCACACUGGAACUGAGACACGGUCCAGACUCCUACGGGAGGCAGCAGUGGGGAAUAUUGGACAAUGGGCGCAAGCCUGAUCCAGCCAUACCGCGUGGGUGAAGAAGGCCUUCGGGCUGUAAAGCCCUUUUGUUGGGAAAGAAAAGCAGCAGGUUAAUACCCCGCUGUUCUGACGGUACCCAAAGAAUAAGCACCGACUAACUUCGUG